rnacentral:rRNA from 1 species
UACAGAGGCCUCGAGCGUUAGGCGGAAUCACUGGGCUUAAAGCGUGUGUAGGCGGAUUGGUAAGUACCUUGUGAAAUCCCACAGCUUAACUGUGGAACUGCUCGGUAUACUGCUGAUCUUGAGCCACUUAGGGGCUACCGGAACAAAUGGUGGAGCGGUGAAAUGCGUAGAUAUCGUUUGGAACGCCAAUGGUGAAAACAGGUAGCUGGGAGUGUGCUGACGCUGAGACACGAAAGCCAGGGGAGCAAACGGG